rnacentral:lncRNA from 1 species
AAAAAGCACAUAUACACAACCAUGGAAUUGCUUUUUCUGCUGGCCCUAGAGUGUGGUUGAUAUACCCAGUAUUCCUUCAUGAAGAAGGCCUGAUUUCCCCCUCUCCCAGGAGCUAUCACUGGCAAAUAACAUCAUGCGAAGGGGUUGGACUUUGUGUCUGCUUCCUUUCUCUGUGCUGGGACUUUGUCCAGCUUGAGUUUGCUCAGGCCCGUCUUAGUCUGUGCUCAGCUGUUUUGUGUAUGGAAAAUGCUAUUUUGGGUUUACCCAUCACCUCCAGUUCUUACAAUCUUUCCACUUCCUCUCUGCAUAGGUCUCUGAACCUUGUGUUGGGGGUAGUAAAGACAUAUUUACAGUUGAA